UACGAAGGGGGCUAGCGUUGCUCGGAAUUACUGGGCGUAAAGGGAGCGUAGGCGGAUAGUUUAGUCAGAGGUGAAAGCCCAGGGCUUAACCUUGGAACUGCCUUUGAUACUGGCUAUCUUGAGUACGGGAGAGGUGAGUGGAACUCCGAGUGUAGAGGUGAAAUUCGUAGAUAUUCGGAAGAACACCAGUGGCGAAGGCGACUCACUGGCCCGUUACUGACGCUGAGGCUCGGAAAGCGUGGGAGCAAACAGGG
rnacentral:rRNA from 1 species